rnacentral:rRNA from 1 species
GACGGAGGGAGCUAGCGUUGUUCGGAAUUACUGGGCGUAAAGCGCACGUAGGCGGCUUUGUAAGUUAGAGGUGAAAGCCCGGGGCUCAACUCCGGAACUGCCUUUAAGACUGCAUCGCUUGAAUCCGGGAGAGGUGAGUGGAAUUCCGAGUGUAGAGGUGAAAUUCGUAGAUAUUCGGAAGAACACCAGUGGCGAAGGCGGCUCACUGGACCGGUAUUGACGCUGAGGUGCGAAAGCGUGGGGAGCAAACAGG